GUCCCAGUUCGGAUUGUAGUCUGCAACCCGACUACAUGAAGCUGGAAUCGCUAGUAAUCGCGGAUCAGAAUGCCGCGGUGAAUACGUUCCCGGGUCUUGUACACACCGCCCGUCACACCAUGGGAGUCGGAAAUGCCCGAAGCCGGUGACUCAACCUGCAAAGGAGAGAGCCGUCGAAGGCAGGUCUGAUAACUGGGGUGAAGUCGUAACAAGGUACC
rnacentral:rRNA from 1 species